CAUCUACCCACACAAAGAUGGCGGCGCCCUGAAUAUAGAUCGGGGCAGAAAAUAAAGAUUAAAAAAUAGGUAAUAUGGGGGCUUAGGGGCAUUUUGGGGUGACUAGGGGGUCAAUUAGAGAUAGUGGAGGCGGGUUAAAAAAACCCCAAAUAAAAACGGGAUUCGGCCAUGACAGUGCCGCUUUAAGGCACCUUAUUUAGCAUUAAA